rnacentral:rRNA from 1 species
UACCAGCCCCCCGAGUGGUCGGGACGUUUAUUGGGCCUAAAGCAUCCGUAGCCGGUUCUACAAGUCUUCCGUUAAAUCCACCUGCUUAACAGAUGGGCUGCGGAAGAUACUAUAGAGCUAGGAGGCGGGAGAGGCAAGCGGUACUCGAUGGGUAGGGGUAAAAUCCGUUGAUCCAUUGAAGACCACCAGUGGCGAAGGCGGCUUGCCAGAACGCGCUCGACGGUGAGGGAUGAAAGCUGGGGGAGCAAACCGG